UGGGGAAUAUUGGACAAUGGGGGCAACCCUGAUCCAGCCAUGCCGCGUGAGUGAUGAAGGCCUUAGGGUUGUAAAGCUCUUUCGCUAGGGAAGAUAAUGACGGUACCUAGUAAAGAAGCCCCGGCUAACUUCGUGCCAGCAGCCGCGGUAAUACGAAGGGGGCUAGCGUUGUUCGGAAUUACUGGGCGUAAAGCGCGCGUAGGCGGGUCAUUAAGUCAGGGGUGAAAUCCCGGGGCUCAACCUCGGAAUUGCCUCUGAUACUGGUGACCUCGAGUCCGUGAGAGGUGAGUGGAACUCCGAGUGUAGAGGUGAAAUUCGUAGAUAUUCGGAAGAACACCAGUGGCGAAGGCGGCUCACUGGCACGGUACUGACGCUGAGGUGCGAAAGCGUGGGGAGCAAACAGGAUUAGAUACCCCCGUAGUCC
rnacentral:rRNA from 1 species